AUAUUAUUUUCUUUAAUUUUCUUAUUUAUUAUUUAAGUAAUAUUUUGGUUUUUGUAAUAUUUUUGAUUUAAUAAUUUUUUAUCGUUCUGUGAGGGUUUAUUUAUUAUUCUUUAAAGUUGAUUUUUUUUUGUACCUUGUGUAUUAGGGUUUAUUAAUUUUUAAUAUUUAUUUUGUUUUUCCCGAAUCUGAGAGAGCUACUUUAUUAAGAUGUUUUAUGUUUUAAAAUGAUCUUUAAUAUUAAAGUUGUAGUGAUAUGUUAGUCGGUCUUGGUGUUAUCUGGUUUUUCAGGAAACUAAUUUAAUUUGUCAGUCUUUUUUUUCCUUUUUGUUUAGGUUUAAUAAUUUGAUUGUAUUUUUAAGGGGGAUAAGCUCUUUUUAAUAUUUCUAUAACAAUAUUUUUACUUAUUUGAAUAUGUUGGUUUUGUAGUAACUAUCAUUUAUGAUUAUGUUGUAAUUUUAUCUUUGUUAUUUUUUUAUUUUGAUUUUGUUUAGUUGUUUUACUGGAGUGGAUAUUUUAAUAUCUUUUUGUAUUUAAUAAUGAUGAAAUUAGUAUAUUAUUUUUUUAUUUUGUUUUUUUUAUAUAAUUAUGUUAAAGGAACUAGGCAAAUUUUAAUUUUUGUCUGUUUAUCAAAAACAUUUCCUGAUGGAUUUAUAUUAGGUAUGACCUGCCCACUGAGUAUUGUUCUUUAAGGGCCGCGGUAAUUUGACUGUGCGAAGGUAGCAUAAUCAUUAGUCUUUUAAUUGUUGACUUGUAUGAAUGGUUGAACAAGAAAUUUUCUGUCUUUAUUUUAUUUAUUGAAUUUAAAUAUUGGGUGAGAAUGCUCAAAUGUGUUUAUGGGACGAGAAGACCCUAUAGAGUUUUACUAUUCUUUUUUUAUUAGUGUUAGUUUAUUUUACUAUUUUUUAGAAUUGUUUAGUUGGGGUGAUUGGAAGAUUUAAUUAACUCUUUUUAUUUAUUAUUAUUUAUUUAUAAUAUGUUGAUCCUUUAUUAUUGAUUAUAAGAUAAAAUUACCUUAGGGAUAACAGCGUAAUCCUUUUUGAAAGUUCUUAUUAAUGGGAGGGGUUGCGACCUCGAUGUUGGAUUAAGAUUACUUUAUGGUGUAGUGGCUAUAGUAGUUGGUCUGUUCGACCUUUAAUUUCUUACAUGAUCUGAGUUCAAACCGGCGUGAGCCAGGUUGGUUUCUAUCUAUUUUUUAAAUGAUUUAGUACGAAAGGACCAUUCAUUUUUAAUAAUUUUUUAUUGUUGAUUUUUAUUAAAUUGUU
rnacentral:rRNA from 1 species